CCGGUAUAAAUCACGUGAACCGCUCCAUAGAUUUUUUUUUCAAAUUAAUAUUUUCUUCCUUUUUGUCUUACGAAUAAGAUGAUAUCAAAAUAAAAUAUGGUCACCGACUUCGUUUUCAAUGUAGAAGCGACGCAAACCCAACAUUUAGGCAAAAAAAAAAAACAUCAAAAUUCGUGACGUCGUUAUUUUUGUUACAUAACGUCAAGUUAUCAUGCUAAUAAUUUCCAACGUUUUUCGUGUUGAUUCUGCACGAUGAUUAUGUGUUUCGUAUUGAUAGAUUCUUUUUAUCAUAAGAGUCUUGAUAAUUAUCAUUAAUUUUUAUUAGUAUUACCAAUAUUCGUUAUUUUAUAUUUUAGCACCCCAUUAUACUUUUUUUCUUUUCUUUCUUUUUUGCAUUUUAUUCUGCAAUUUUUGUCCAUUAUUCUGUAUUCCGUAAACCCCAAUCAGACCCUCUUUUAUGGAACAUUUUAAAAAGAAAUUAUACGUUGUAAAAACUAUGAUACAUGUUUGUUCAUAAUCAAUAUACAUAUAUAAAACAAUUACUAAUUCAGACAAAAAUACGUUGUAAGUACAUGAACGCAAAAAUUUAAAAACUUAAAAAUAUAAAUCAUCAGGGUUACUGUCUACAAGUUGACGCAAUAAAAGAU
rnacentral:lncRNA from 1 species